UAAGGUCAUUAGGGUUUUUCUUUUUUGUUUUUUUGCGAGGUUAAAUGAAAAAAAGGCCCAACGGAUCGAGUGUAUAAUCUAGACAUACUUUUUGGUGUGCCCCUGGCGUUGCUCGAAAGCGACUGAUGGACAAAGAGUGAACGCACCCGGCAUUUGCAAAUAGAAAAACUCUAUCGCAAAUAGAAAAUCUCUAUUGAAGGUGCGAGUUGUGCAACGAAUCAACUACGCGCCCUCGAUCGGCCGCGUAGACGAUUUCCUUCAGAUUCGUUAAUUUUCUCUCCUCAUGAUUUCUUUCGACCGCAUCCCUUCCUCUCCUUCGGUCCUCAAGAAUUAAUCAAACCCUAACCCUAAUUUCCCACCCGAUCUGCCGUACUCGCAUGAGCUACAUCAAGGAUCUCUUCAAUUCCUUCUCCUCCCUCCUCUCCGCCGCCGCUGCCGCGAAUCCGCUCGCGCCCGGCUCCGAUCGCGCCAUGGAGAGCUCCGCCGCCGCCGCCGCCGCCGCCGCCGCGGGGCCCUCCGACGUCGUCGGCGAGAGGGCGGCGCUGAAGUUGAAGGGGUACUUCGAGCUGGCCAAGGAGGAGAUCGACAAGGCCGUGCGCGCCGAGGAGUGGGGCCUCGCCGACGACGCCGUCGCGCACUACAAGAACGCGCUCCGCGUCAUGCUCGAAUCCAAGGCCGUCCGAGUCCCCGACGCCCUCUCCUCCGUUGAGAAGAUGCAGGUUAAGACUUACCAGCAAAAGAUAUCAAAAUGGCAGGGGCAAGUUGCGGAGAGACUACAAAUAUUAAGUCAGAGGACAGGCAUGGAAAUGAAGAAGACAACUCCAAGCCAUAUUUCCGUUAGAACAAACACAUCUACAUCAACUGGUGCUCGAAAGCCUACAUCUCAGCGCAUCCCCAGUUUAAAAGAUAGCCCGAGGAAUUUGAAUCCGACAAGCAGUCAUGAAGGGCCCAAACCUGUUCAACAAGCCACUGGCAGUUAUGAUGCUCGACUAGUUGAAAUGAUAAAUACAGCCAUAGUAGAUAGAAGUCCUGCAGUUAAAUGGGAUGAUGUUGCUGGUCUGGAUAAGGCAAAACAAGCUCUUAUGGAAAUGGUUAUUUUGCCGACUAAAAGAAGAGAUUUAUUUACUGGCCUUCGAAAGCCAGCUAGAGGGUUGCUUCUCUUUGGUCCUCCUGGCAAUGGGAAAACAAUGCUUGCUAAAGCUGUUGCAUCAGAAUCUAAUGCAACCUUCUUUAAUGUUUCUGCUGCAUCUCUAACAUCAAAAUGGGUUGGAGAGGCAGAAAAGCUUGUACGGACUCUUUUCAUGGUUGCCGUCGACAGGCAGCCAUCUGUAAUCUUCAUGGAUGAGAUUGAUAGCCUCUUGUCUUCAAGAUUAGCAAAUGAGAAUGAUGCUAGCAGACGGUUGAAGUCAGAGUUUCUAGUUCAAUUUGACGGUGUGGCAUCCAAUCCAAAUGAUUUAGUAAUUGUCAUUGGUGCUACUAACAAGCCACAAGAGUUGGAUGAUGCUGUUUUACGAAGAUUGGUGAAGAGAAUAUAUAUCCCAUUACCGGAUGCAAGUGUACGAAGGCUACUUCUGAAAAAGCAACUUAAAGGACAAGCAUUUUCAUUGCCCAUGUAUCUCAACAUGACAAGCAUUCAGAUUUCAAACCUUUGUUAGAACACGAGCUUUUUAGAUGCACUAGAAUCAUCCUCUCAUGGAAGAACUACUCUCUUACAGGCAGUGAUAUGGAAAGACUUGUCACGGAGACCGAAGGAUACUCGGGAAGUGAUUUGCAAGCUUUGUGUGAAGAAGCUGCAAUGAUGCCAAUCAGAGAACUCGGUCCUCAGCACAUUCUUACUAUAAAAGCAAAUCAGGUGAGACCACUAAGAUUUGAAGAUUUUAAGAAAGCGAUGACGGUCAUUAGACCAAGCUUGCAGAAGAGCAAGUGGGAAGAGCUCGAGCAGUGGAAUCAGGAAUUCGGCUCCAAUUGAAAGUGCCACUUCCUUUUAAGGACUGUGAAGUUGCAAGCAACAAUUUUUACUCGUAAUGUUGAUGCAUGUAUAUGAAGGGUGAUCUACCUCUAAUCGGCAUUAGAUCAUUUCUUCAUCGUCGCACUUUGCUGCCCUCCCAUUCGAAGCGCAGAUAAACGAGUCGUAUUUCUUCCUCCCUGUGGGUUGGCUGCGGGAGGUUUAACAUCAUGUACAUAAAUAUAGUAUGCAGGAGUUACUUUUCAUUUCUUGUUCAUAGAACCACAGAAACCCCUUCUUCGUAUUAAAUUAUUACUCACAAAAGUGAAAUAUUUUGUGAAGAUUCACAUAGCA